CCUACGUGAGGCAGCAGUGGGGAAUAUUGCGCAAUGGGCGAAAGCCUGACGCAGCGACGCCGCGUGAGGGAUGAAGGUCUUCGGAUCGUAAACCUCUGUCAGCAGGGAAGAACGGUCACUGUGCUAAUCAUCAGUGAAUUGACGGUACCUGCAAAGGAAGCACCGGCUAACUCCGUGCCAGCAGCCGCGGUAAUACGGCGGGUGCGAGCGUUAAUCGGAAUUACUGGGCGUAAAGCGCUCGUAGGCGGUAUGUCAAGUCAAGGGUGAAAUCCCCGCGCUCAACGUGGGAACUGCCUUUGAAACUGGCAAACUGGAGUGUGUGAGAGGAUAGUGGAAUUCCAGGGGUAGGAGUGAAAUCCGUAGAUAUCUGGAGGAACAUCAGUGGCGAAGGCGACUAUCUGGCACAUAACUGACGCUGAGGAGCGAAAGCGUGGGUAGCAAACAGGAUUAGAUACCCCAGUAGUC
rnacentral:rRNA from 1 species